rnacentral:lncRNA from 1 species
CUAGACAACUAGGUGCUAAACCCUGCUCACCUAGGCUCCCACUCAGACGACUAGGCACUAAACCCCUACUCGCCACCCAACCAACACUUAGCGUUUUCUAGAACCUUGAAAAAUACACUUAGAAGGAGUAUACAAUGACUUUUUCAAGGUGCUAAUAAAAAUGUCUUUGGCGUUCGUAUUGUCACUCCAAAAUGUCAAAUCCCACUCAUCACUAUACAAAUUUUCUCUUGCAUUUUUAUAAAGUGGGACCUACCCUAACCCUAACAUGGGAGAGCAAUCAAUUAAAAUGAUGGUCAAAAGAACUUGUAUAUAACAUAAUGCUAAGUUUACAUCCGACUAACUUAAUAUUUUCCUUUGUUUUUUUCCUCAUAGGUGAAGUAUAGAAGACUAAAAAAUGAGUGUUAAAAACUAGCUGAAAUCAAUAAUUGAUUAGACCAAGAUGUUUGAUAAAACUUAUUUGUGAUUGAAAACAUCAUAUUGUAACUUAUUUAUAUGAUCAAUCAUAUUGUCACCUCUCAACUUAAUAAAUGAAUGCUCUUAUUCACUCUAUCUGCAAGUCGUUUACACGGAUUUUUUUUUUUUUAAUGUGUGCCAGUUCAGCCAUCUUUAAUUAUAGGGAAAAAAAAAGGGAACUUUAACGAAAAACAACCGGUACUGUUCACUUUAACGAAAAACCACAUUUUUACACUAAAAAGUCAAUCCUGGUACUAUUUACUUUACCCUUUAUUUUGUCCUUAUUUUUAAAACUCAAAGUUUUCAAACCUUUUUCAUUAGUUUUCCUAAAAAAAAAAAGCUUUGAUAUUUUUGUAGAGUGAAAAGCAAAACGUAGGAAGUUAGAAAAUUAAUAAAUA